UACAGAGGGUGCGAGCGUUAAUCGGAAUUACUGGGCGUAAAGCGUGCGUAGACGGUAAUGUAAGUCAGAUGUGAAAGCCCCGGGCUCAACCUGGGAACGGCGCGCGAAACGGGAGGGCUGGAGUUCGGGAGAGGAGAGUGGAAUUCCCAGUGUAGAGGUGAAAUUCGUAGAUAUUGGGAAGAACACCGGUGGCGAAGGCGGCUCUCUGGACCGAGACUGACGCUGAGGCGCGAAAGCGUGGGGAGCAAACAGG
rnacentral:rRNA from 1 species